rnacentral:rRNA from 1 species
UACGUAGGGGGCGAGCGUUGUCCGGAAUUAUUGGGCGUAAAGGGUUCGUAGGCGGUUAUUUAAGUCAGAUGUGAAAGGCAUAGGCUCAACCUGUGUAAGCAUUUGAAACUGAGUAACUUGAGUUAAGGAGAGGAAAGUGGAAUUCCUAGUGUAGCGGUGAAAUGCGUAGAUAUUAGGAGGAACUCCGAUUGCGCAGGCAGCUUACCAGGCCAUAACUGACGCUCAAGCACGAAGGCGUGGGGAUCAAACAGGAUUAGAUACCCCCCGUAGUCCCUGA